rnacentral:pre_miRNA from 1 species
CUUUUUAGGGUUAAAACGUCAAUAUUUUAGACGAGUCUCCUAGUUAUAGGGACUGAUAUCAUUUUUAACGUUUCUUCUAAUUUUAGAGACC